CCCAUUGCACCCCGCUGCACCGCCCCCUAUAUUGGGUCUGUUCGGGCUUGCCCGGACUAUGGCGAUAAACGCACCUGUAAUAAUCGGAUCGGACCCGGGGGCGGUACCCGGCGGCUCCACCAAUCACCCGGCAUUGCGGGCGGACGGGGCCGAAACAGGAUCGACGAACGACUAAAGAGGCCAGCUUUCGCUCGGUGAGGUACCACCGUUAUCGGUCCGAAAAGUACAGUUGCCAAUGACAACCGUGCUCCGGUCGCUCUGGCUGCGUAAGCAGUUCGAGAGAUCGAAACUUAAGCCCUUGCGCUUAGCCGCGUAAGGCGGGGUCCGCAGGCACCUGGCAACAGAAGCCUGCACU
rnacentral:tmRNA from 1 species